CAGUAGCCACGGUAAUACGUAGGUCCCGAGCGUUGUCCGGAUUUAUUGGGCGUAAAGCGAGCGCAGGCGGUUAGAUAAGUCUGAAGUUAAAGGCUGUGGCUUAACCAUAGUACGCUUUGGAAACUGUUUAACUUGAGUGCAAGAGGGGAGAGUGGAAUUCCAUGUGUAGCGGUGAAAUGCGUAGAUAUAUGGAGGAACACCGGUGGCGAAAGCGGCUCUCUGGCUUGUAACUGACGCUGAGGCUCGAAAGCGUGGGGAGCAAACAGGAUUAGAUACCCCCGUAGUCCCUGUCUCUUAUACA
rnacentral:rRNA from 1 species